AACGAGCUUGUAAAAGAUGUUGCAUAAUUAUCACGACCAGAAGCAAAUAUGUUUUGUCUCUUCUCGGAGUUGACGAAUCACUAGUUCAUUUUCCUCUUUUUCUUGAUGAUGAUGAAAGCUGGUUUUUGUUCUGCAAGCAUGCAUUUCGUCGUAUAGAUGAAAAAUCUCAUGAAAUUUUCGAACAAACGGGCAGGGAAAUUGUCGCUCAAUGUGGGGGAAUUCCACUGUCAAUCAGCACAAUAGGAGGCUUACUGGGAUCAAAAACUGAUUCACUUCGUGAGUGGAAGAAUAUUCGUGACAAAUUUUUUGUGCAUAACAUCACAGAAGAAAAUAGUGCCUUGAUGAAUUCGCUGCAAUUGAGCUACAAGGCACUUCCACCUCAUCUAAAGCAAUGUCUACUAUGUUUCUCCAUUUAUCCUGAAGGCUUUGAUAUAGAAGCUGAAAAGUUAAUCUGCUGGUGGAUUGGGGAGGGUCUCAUCCAGGACACCAAGUCGAAAUCCGCAUCAGAGUUGGGCUAUGAGUAUCUAUCGAAACUGAUCGACAGAUGCCUGGUUGAAGUUGUGGAAAGCCGGGGCUAUGAUGGAAGAGUCCACAAGUGCAAAAUGCAUAGUCUGUUGCGAGAUUUGACCAUUAAGAUGGCACAAGAGGAGAGAAUUUGUAGCUUUUACAACGGACACAGGCAAGAAUUCACUGCAGACACUCGAUGGUUGGGUUUCACGAGUGAAAUGGAUUCAAUAUCAUUGAACAGAUGCCCAAAGCUCCGGGCUGUAUUGCUGAUGACUACUGGCUAUCAAGGUCCACUGGACAGGAAUUUGGGUUCACUCCAUUCACUCAGGUCACUGGACUUGUCUAACAAUAAUCUUGACAACGUCGCUUUAAAGAAUCUGCUGAGUUGGAUUAGUUCCCUCAGACGACUUGCAUAUCUAAAUCUAAGUGGAGCCAAAGGCCUCAAGGAGGUUCCUAGUUCCAUUCGCAAACUCCGGAACCUCGAGCUCUUAGUUUUAAGUGGAUGCCAAAUGCUAUCCAAACUAAGCCCUUCAAUCACUUCUUUGAAGAGUUUGAUGGUCUUGAACCUAGGCUCUUGUGACAAGCUUCCAUACCUGCCUCGCGGAUUGGGGAUGCUCUCCCAUCUUCGAGAGCUAUAUGGAUUGAGACUGGUAAGCCAGGCUAACAGACGCAGCUGUCCCCUUCUGGAAGUUGGAGCACUAAGUGAGUUAAGAGUACUGCACAUGCAUUUAAGUAGAGGGAGUGAAAUCAAACAAAAGGAAUGGGAUGUUCUGUCAAAGCUUAGGAAACUCAAGGUUCUAACCAUUGAUUUUGACGCUGAAAGAUCGGAAGGGAAAACAAUGCAAAGGAUGCUAGAUCCACUUGAACCUCCACAAGGACUUGAGGAGCUGUAUCUCAGGCAUUACUAUCAUGAUACUUUGCCAAAAUGGGUUAGUCCCGAGUAUCUUUGUAAUUUGUUGUAUCUUUGCAUAGAGGACGGUCGCCUGUUUGACAUCCGCGUAGAUGAAGGAAUUUGUUGGAACCUUGAGGGCUUGCGUUUGAAGCAGUUGCCGUACUUGCGGGAGGAUUGGAACAGACUGCGGAAUCAGAUGCCUUUAUUGCGUUAUGCAGAGGUUAUCGAUUGUUCCCAAAUACUCAAUUUCCCCGGUGAAGUGGAAAACAAGCCGGUGAUUUGGAGAAGGAAUUGGUACGACAAUGAUAAAGAGGGAUAAUCAUCUGCUGCUAUAUAGGUUAUGCAAUUGUCCAAUUACAUGAGCUUUGAGUUGUGGUAAGAUUGUAAUAUUAAAUUUGCUUUGGCCAUUUAAUCUCUGCGUUAUGUGUGGUGGUGAUGUAAACUAUUCCCAGAUUGGUGUGGAUUAGAACAUGCAUGUGAUGUUCUCGUGUAAAUAGUUGUGAAAACAAAUCAAAGAUAAGAUUAGGUUUUAUUUUCAUAUAAAAUUUAUUGGGUUUGGCCAACUCCUAUAAUCUCAAGCCAAUUUUUUUGUGACGC
rnacentral:misc_RNA from 1 species